AUAUAAUUCAUGUAACCAGAAGUAAAUAAUCCGACUCCCCUUCACACACACACACAAAAGAACCACCAUGACCGAACCAGAACAUGUUCGUCCGCUAGCUCCGGCGACCGUACUUCCGUUGAGCGAUUAUCCCGCCACCGACAAACAAACUCUCAAUCGUCGCAGAAACCGGUUAAAGUGCUUAAUCUGCGUCACUGUAACAUCUCUUAUUCUCAUCACGAUCGUGUUGACUUUAGUCUUCACGGUGUUCCGAGUCAAAGAUCCCAUCAUAAAAAUGAAUGGCGUGACAGUCAACGGUCUUGACUCAACCACCGGGACUCAGAUCCAACUGUUGGGAACAAACAUCUCGAUGAUCGUCGACGUGUCGGUAAAGAAUCCGAACUCUGCGUCGUUUAGGUAUUCAAACACUACAACCGAUAUAUAUUACAAAGGAACGGUGGUGGGUGAAGCACGUGGGCCACCGGGAAAGGCGAGAGCGCAUCGGACGAUGAGGAUGAACAUGACUGUUGAUAUUAUGAUAGAUCGGUUUCUGCUGGAUCCUGGUUUGGCUCGAGAAGUAAGUGGGUCGGGUCUUUUGAACGUGUGGAGUUACACUAAGGUUAGUGGUAAGGUAAAGAUACUGGGGAUGGUGAAAAAAGACGUUACGGUUAAAAUGAACUGCACGAUGGCUGUGAACAUCACUCGACAGGCUAUUCAAGAUACCAAGUGCAAGAAAGAUAUCGAUCUUUGAGUUUUCGGUUUCCAGAGGGUUUCUUCACCAAAGGCGACGAAACGCACUCCUCAUCGUCUCCGCCACAUCCAGCUCCGACUGUCCCUUCUCCGUCACAACCGAUUUUUUCUCUGUCACCUCUACCGUAAACGGCUUCGUCUCCAGCAUCCUCCAAGCUAACUCAUGUUGCAAAGCUAGGCGGUGAAAAGUGGAAGUCUUUGACAGAAGAAAUGAGUUGCUCUGUUCUUUGUUUCUUCCCUAGGUUGCAUGGUGAUUUGCCUAUCGUGAUAUAACUCGGAUUGUAUUAAGUGGCUAUUUAGGAUAAGAAAGUUUAUUUGGAUAAGGAGACAGAGUAUAGCAAGUCACUGGAAAACAACAAUGCUGAUGAAGAACUAUGUGAAGAAGAUGAGGAGAAGCAAUCUGAUAAGUCUAAUGAGGCUGAGGAGAAUGAAGAUGUGAAAGAAGAACCUGAUGAGGCUACUUUCUUUUGGUCUGAUCUCAUUCAAAUGGAUUUAACUGUAUAUUGUGAUGGUGCAUUGUAAAUUUUAAGCCUUUAUUUUGGUGAAAUCAGUUAUUGUAUUCUACUUGUUGAAUCAAAUUGAUGAUAUUUUAUUUACAUGGA